AGAAAAAGUGUGAAAAAUCAAGGAAAACAAGUGAAAAAGUGGUGAAUCCUCCGAUAAAGGCAAAGAAAUUGUACCCGAGAAUCGAUAGUCGGAGUACUCUAAAAUUCGACUUCCGAAAUACUUGCUGCAGUGGGCUGGUUCUGUGGACUAGCCUAUUAGAGGAGCACGAAACUUGGUCAUAUAUAGUACCUCGAUUGGAGAGGCGCGUAGGGUAAAUCCUGAGGUCAAACUUUAGAGUUCACUUCACACCAAACCACCAC